GACGAACGCUGGCGGCGUGCCUAAUACAUGCAAGUCGAACGAGAGCAACCGGUGCUUGCACUGGUCAAUCCAGUGGCGAACGGGUGAGUAACACGUGGGUAACCUGCCCAUCAGAGGGGGAUAACAUCCGGAAACGGAUGCUAAAACCGCAUAGGUCUUCGAACCGCAUGGUUUGAAGAGGAAAAGAGGCGCAAGCUUCUGCUGAUGGAUGGACCCGCGGUGCAUUAGCUAGUUGGUGAGGUAACGGCUCACCAAGGCCGUGAUGCAUAGCCGACCUGAGAGGGUGAUCGGCCACAUUGGGACUGAGACACGGCCCAAACUCCUACGGGAGGCAGCAGUAGGGAAUCUUCCGCAAUGGACGCAAGUCUGACGGAGCAACGCCGCGUGAGUGAAGAAGGUUUUCGGAUCGUAAAACUCUGUUGUUAGAGAAGAACAAGUGCUAGAGUAACUGUUAGCGCCUUGACGGUAUCUAACCAGAAAGCCACGGCUAACUACGUG
rnacentral:rRNA from 1 species